UUUGACUCCUAACCCUAGGGUUGUGGGUUCAAAUCUUGGGCUGGCAAUACCACGACUUGGUGCCCUUGAGCAAGGCACCAAAUCCCCAGCUGCGCCACAGCAUAAAUAGCUGCCCACUGCUCUGGGUGUGUGUGUGUGUUCACUGCUCUGUGUGUGUGCACUUUGGAUGGGUUAAAUGCAGAGCACGAAUUCUGAGUAUGGGUCACCAUACUUGGCUGAAUGUGACGUCACUUAUUAUUUUUACAAAUAUUUGAAAAUCUGGAAUCUGAAUCUAAAUAUUGAGAAAAUCGCCUUUAAAGUUGUCCAAAAGAAGUCUUUAGCAUUGCAUAUUACUAAUCAAAAAUUAAGUUUUUAUAUAUUUAAGGUAAGACAUUUUCAAAACAUCUUCAUGGAACAUGAUCUUAACUUUAUAUCCUGUUAUUUUUGGCAGUAAAAAAAAAAUCUAUAAUUUUAACCUAUAUUGUUUGCUAUUGCUACACAUAUACCCGUGACUUAAGGCUGGUUUUGUGGUCCAGGGUCACAAAUCAGUUAUGGACUGCAGCUGUAGAAGUUAAUUGCAAAAUACUUUAUGACUUGUCAUUAUGUGUAGUCCUCAUAGUCUGCCUCUGGAAAUGUCAGUUGCCAUGACAGCCAUGACAUGUUUUCUGAUAGGUUGAUACUGCUCUAUACCCUCUUCAUCGAAUUAGAUGAGAUCUGGACAUCAGCAGAAUGCAAGCUUAAGUAACAUAGCCUUAAAUUUUGUAGGUUCAAUUAAAACAGGUAUUAGACUGCAUGAUUCCCUUAAGCAUUUUCACUCUUAACCACUUGUUGCAGUAUGAAGAAAUUGUGUCUGUUUUAUGAUUUGUUUUUAUUUAGUUAUGAUUAUUUAGAGAAUAAUUCUAAUAUCUUUUGCAUGUUAGAAUGUCUGAAUGAAGAUCAAGAUGCUCUUUCCAAUGAUACUCUUCACUUCAUAGCCACUCAGAAUCAGUUAUUCUCCUGCUUUGAACCAUAUCAGCCAAAAGAGUCGAGUCUAGCAGAAGCCUAAUGAAUAUCCAAGACAAAUUCAGCUGAGUGGAGAUGAGGCAAGGAGGGGAAGAGAGGACAGUGAUUCUUUGGUUCAUCACUCCUUCUAAACCAACAGGCACUUUCAGUAUGGACAGGUAGGGUUCACAUCUUCUUCUGGACUCCAAGCACAUCAAAGAAUUUAUGAUUUCCUAUUUAAAUCAGAUUUUAUUUUUUUUAUUUUUUUGCACGAUUUGUAAUUUGCACUUUGAAAUAUGCCAGUUGCAAGUAUUACUGAUAAUUCUACUGAUUUUCUCAGAGGAUCAGUGAUGAUUUCAAUAAUUACAGUGGAUGCUAGUAUAUUAUUAUUAUAUAUUGUAUAAAGGAAAUUUAUCUUGUACAUUAGAAUAUUUAUGCUGCAUUUUUACUGCACUAACAGACCAUGGUACAUUUUAUGUUCUCUGUUUUCCUAGGUGAUAACAAAUGUACAGUCUCACACACACACACACACACACACACACACACACACACACACACACACACACACAAACAUACAGUACAUGGCUGUGGUGCCAUUUCUGGAAGCACUCCAUGUGCAUUAGAGAAAGAUCUUGUAGCAAAUACUUUAUUCAGGGUCAAAGGUGUAUGCAGUGAGUAGAGGAGAAAAGUAAAGGACGGAAGAGGCAACAUGAAGCCUUUUAAGCCGGUCCAUGUGCCUGUUUACCUCUUUUUUUGUUUAACAAUGGAUUUGCCAUAGUCUUCUCUCAUUGAGUGGUUAUAAACUAAACUGUCUAAACUAAAAUAUAUUUAAUGAACACACAAAUUAUUCUGAAAAAGAUAGACAUGGAAUAGGAAAGCUUAAUUAAUGGUGAUGCAUCAAAGAGAUCUUUCAUUUUCUGAACUCAGAUGUUGACCAUAGCAUUAAGUAAAGUAUUAUUUUUAUUCUCUGAAUGCAGUAAGGUUUAUUCAUAGGAUAUUUGCAUACUUCUUAAGUUGCAAAAUUGUUUUCAAUUCAGAAAGCUUCCUCAUACCUUUGUUUUAAUUGUACUUGAAUCCUAAAUUCUUCCUUGUUGCUGUUGACAGGCUUGUUGUUUUCAGGGUUAUGUGGACUUUCCAUGGAUUGCAAAGCACCUGCUUCUCAAGUCAUUAGCAGCUAAUCUAAAUGUAGGAUAAAGUUACUUGGCCGAUUAAUCGUAACAACACAUCCGUUAAGCUGCAUUGGCUUUUUGGUCUUAUGGAGCCAAGCCAAUGCCUAUCACACUGCCUGUUAAGCGCAUUUCACUUGAUUUAUCCCGUCAUAUGAUCGUACAGGAAGAUAUGGGGCAAAAUAGCCUUUUCAUUUGUGGCUCAUGAGUUCAAUGUCUAACAAGAAUGACAGCUUUCAUCCCUGCAAUGGCAGAUCUGUUGGUGAAAGUCAUUACUCCUGACCUGACUGCCAAAUGCAGAAACCAGGUGAAUUUUAAGGCCACGUGUUCAUAGAACUGAAGCAAAACAUGAAAUACCUUUUGAGAUGUAUGACCCGAGCCUUACUUUACCUGACAAGAACCUUAGAGAGGAUGAGGGGGGACUGGUGGGGGGGUGAGAUUAUCCAUCAUCACAUUUUGCCUUGGUAAAAUCGGAGCAGUGACUUUGGACCUUAAGCAGUGAGCCCAUUAUGAAAUAUCCCUGAGCCUGAAACUCAGCAAGGUUUGAUCCAAACAAACCUUCAAAGUAGCUGCUGCAUUGUUUAAAUAUUGCCAUUAGGAUUUUGGAUGACUUGUUAUUAUAAAUAAUUUCUGUGUGUUGAUUAAUGAUUGCUUUGUGCUCUUUUGUAAAAAUGUGCAUACUAACAAAAGUCUGAUUUUAUUUUCACAUUUUGUAAGGCUGUAAUUUUAUUACGAAUAAUAAAGAGAUCUCAUUCUAAAAGUG